GUAGAAGCGACUANACGUAUGAUAUCGUUUGCUGACAUCAAAUAACGAUUAAAGGUUUAGCGGUUAUGGAUGGGGAUGCGUCUGAUUAGCUUGUUGGCGGGGUAACGGCCCACCAAGGCGACGAUCAGUAGGGGUUCUGAGAGGAAGGUCCCCCACAUUGGAACUGAGACACGGUCCAAACUCCUACGGGAGGCAGCAGUU
rnacentral:rRNA from 1 species